rnacentral:rRNA from 1 species
UGGGGAAUCUUGCGCAAUGGGCGAAAGCCUGACGCAGCAACGCCGCGUGCGGGAUGACGGCCUUCGUGGUUGUAAACCGCUUUCAGCAGGGACGAAAAUGACGGUACCUGCAGAAGAAGCCCCGGCUAACUACGUGCCAGCAGCCGCGGUAAUACGUAGGGGGCGAGCGUUGUCCGGAAUCAUUGGGCGUAAAGAGCUCGUAGGCGGUUCAGUAAGUCGGGUGUGAAAGCUCCGAGCUCAACUCGGAGAGGCCACUCGAUACUGCUGUGACUAGAAUCCAGUAGGGGAGUGUGGAACUCCUGGUGUAGCGGUGAAAUGCGCAGAUAUCAGGAAGAACACCAGCGGCGAAGGCGGCACUCUGGGCUGGUAUUGACGCUGAGGAGCGAAAGUGUGGGUAGCAAACAGG